rnacentral:lncRNA from 1 species
ACACAAGCUCUGCUGUCAGCCAUGUGGAUGUGAGGCUGAGAUGGAAAGAAGAAGGAGAGGUGCUCAAAAGUCUGCUGAAGAAAGAUGAAUAGCCCCUUGAAUGAAGCAUGCCGGGCCUCAUCUCGGACCUGCACACUGCCCCUCAUUAUGUUCAUGAUCGGGAAAUGGAUAAAGAGUGGCCAGAAGGUGAAAAAGAAGAGAUGGCCCCCUGAAAGGGACAUCCACAUUUAUUUGAGCACCUACCAGGAUACCUGCUUUGGGAGCCUUCUGCUGCUGCGUGAGAUCCCUGGCUACCCUGGAGAGACAUCAGACAACAAGUGAGAUGCCCAAGAGCCCUAGCUGUCUUUGUCUUUGCAGCCCAAGCUCCAGACAUGUACUGAAGAAGCUUUAAGGAUAAAUUCAGUCCCAACUACUCCCUGGCUACAACUAUGAGACAGACCCUCCCAAGUCAGAACUGCCUAGCCAAGCUCAGGCAACUCCAAGAUUUAAGAGCAAAAUAAAAGAUAGUUAUUGCUUUAA